rnacentral:rRNA from 1 species
GGGCUCACACAAGCGGUGGAGGAUGUGGCUUAAUUCGAGGCUACGCGAAGAACCUUAUCCUAGUCUUGACAUGUAUGGAUUAACCCUGUGAAAGCAGGGCCACGCCUUCGGGUGGAACAUACACAGGUGCUGCAUGGCUGUCGUCAGCUCGUGUCGUGAGAUGUCGCGUUAAGUCGCUUAACGAGCGAAACCCUUGUCUCUAGUUGCCAGCGCGUAAUGGCGGGGACUCUAGAGAGACCGCCGGCGUUAAGCCGGAGGAAGGUGGGGAUGACGUCAAGUCCUCAUGGCCCUUAUGACUAGGGCUGCACACGUCCUACAAUGGAACGCACAAAGGGAUGCGAAACCGCGAGGUCAAGCAAAUCCCAAAAAUCGUUGGUCAGUUCGGAUUGCAGGCUGCAACUCGCCUGCAUGAAGCCGGAAUCGCUAGUAA